UUGGAGGGCAAGUCUGGUGCCAGCAGCCGCGGUAAUUCCAGCUCCAAUAGCGUAUAAUAAAGUUGUUGCAGUUAAAAAGCUCGUAGUUGAAUUUCGGGGUUCUACCGUUGGUCGGGCAAUUGUCUGUACUGGCGUGUAAAAUUUCUACCUUCUGGGGAACCAUCAUGUUAUUAAUUUAGCGUGGUGGGAAACCAGGACCUUUACCUUGAAAAAAUUAGAGUGUUCAAAGCAGGCUUACGUCUGAAUACAUUAGCAUGGAAUAAUAAAAUAGUACGGUGGUCCUGUUUUGUUGGUUUCUGAAUCACCGUAAUGAUUAAUAGGGAUAGUUGGGGGCAUUAGUAUUCAAUUGUCAGAGGUGAAAUUCUUGGAUUUAUUGAAGACUAACUUCUGCGAAAGCAUUUGCCAAGGAUGUUUUCAUUAAUCAAGAAAGAAAGUUAGGGGAUCGAAGACGAUCAGAUACCGUCGUAGUCUUAACCAUAAACUAUGCCGACUAGGGAUCGGACGAUGUUAAUUUUUCUUGACUCGUUCGGCGCCUUACGGGAAAC
rnacentral:rRNA from 1 species